AUUCCAGCUCCAAUAGCGUAUAUUAAAGUUGUUGCAGUUAAAAAGCUCGUAGUUGGACUUCUGAUGUGAAAGAUCGGUCCACCGCAAGGUGAGCACUGAUUCUUCGCGUCUUCCUCUCGUAGUUGUUUCGCGCACUUAGUUGGGUGCGAGAUGAAUAUGGGACCUUUACUUUGAAAAAAUUAGAGUGUUCAAAGCAGGCAAUCGCUUGAAUACAUUAGCAUGGAAUAAUAGAAUAGGACUUUGGUUCUAUUUUGUUGGUUUCUAGGACCGAGGUAAUGAUUAAUAGGGACAGUUGGGGGCAUUAGUAUUUAAUUGUCAGAGGUGAAAUUCUUGGAUUUAUGAAAGACUAACUACUGCGAAAGCAUUUGCCAAGGAUGUUUUCAUCA
rnacentral:rRNA from 1 species